rnacentral:lncRNA from 1 species
GAGAAAUUUGGUUUGAAAUGAAAUUUGAGUCUUGAGAGAGGGCUGAUAUGAAGGAGAAUCAAACAAGCCACAUGGGAGCAUCUGAAGGCCUGGAGAUAAGGGCCUGUUGCAUGGCUGUGAAAAUUUGGCCUUUAAAAUAACUAGGCAUGGGCCAGAAAUCACAGCCGGCGGCUGCGACCACCCAAGGCAGGAGAUCCAGCGGGGGACUAUGGAGCUCAGUGGAGCUGCGGCCUGGGAGAAGCCCACCCAAGAGAACCAUCUCCCCAUUUCCGGCAUCUCGGCUUGGCAGGACCCCUCCAGGACCUCACUCCUCUGAGACGCACUGCAGACCUCACAGGUGACAGCAGCGUUUUGCUGACUCAGAGGCAACUACCACGAUGACCCUCCAGCCCGUGUCCAGACCUGGGGCAGCGACUUGGACAGGGGGCUGCAGAAGUGGGUCUGUGAGGGGGACCUGACGGGGGGCUGCAGAAGUGGGUCUGUGAGGCGGACCUGGGGGGGCAGCCCUGGGGUGGGCUCACUGGGGUUCACUCCACCUCGAAGACUUCAAUUCCAGCUCUGGCUGGUUUUGUUGGAUUAGGAACACACAGCCAGCCAAAUCUUGGUUACUAGGGUGCCAGAGAUCACGUGGAGAAAUGAAAUAAAGAGAGAACCCCCAAA